UACGUAGGGUGCGAGCGUUGUCCGGAAUUAUUGGGCGUAAAGAGCUCGUAGGCGGUUUGUCGCGUCGACUGUGAAAACCUACAGCUUAACUGUGGGCUUGCAGUCGAUACGGGCAGACUUGAUUUCGGUAGGGGAGACUGGAAUUCCUGGUGUAGCGGUGAAAUGCGCAGAUAUCAGGAGGAACACCGGUGGCGAAGGCGGGUCUCUGGGCCGAUACUGACGCUGAGGAGCGAAAGCGUGGGGAGCGAACAGG
rnacentral:rRNA from 1 species